UCUGGUGACAAUUACGACGAGGUCCCACCUGUUCCCAUCCCGAACACAGAAGUUAAGCUUGUCAGUGCCGAAAAUACUUGCGGGUUACCCUGCUGGAAAGAUAGGUCGUUGCCAGAU
rfam:Clostridium sp. CAG:452 genomic scaffold, scf9